UUCCGGCAAGCCAGAUGGAUGCCAGGAUUCCGCCCGGUACAGGACUGUCUAAUGCUUCGAUAUCGCCAGGGAUUGCAUAGACAUUUCCGUUUUUGACUGCGGUGCACUCCUUCAGAUUCUCGUCGUUUAAUACAUCUUCGGGUGUGUAUUCUGCAUCCGAAGCGAGAAUAAUAUAAGAAGGAUCCCAUGCCAGAAGCUGCUCGUAGCUGAUCUCGGCCCAAUAGGUAUCCGUGAUUUCGGAUGCUGCAUUUUUACCGCCUGCCAGUUCGAUAAGCCCUGACUGAUACAUCGCCGGACCGGCAGUGGAAAGAAGGGAAGAGUUACCGGCGAGAUAGACGCUUUCUGCAUCGCCGCCGGAUAAGUCUUUUUCGAGCAUCUCUUUUUUCUCAUCAAUAUAAGAAAGAAGGGCAUCUGCGUUUUCCUUUGUAUUGGUUGCGGUGGAGCAGGUACGAAAGUAGGACUUAGUGAUCCGGUGGUAUAAAGUGGGAUUGCCAUCGCUCAACGGAUAAAAGCUACCCUGGGGAUAACAGGCUUAUCACUCCCAAGAGUUCACAUCGACGGAGUGGUUUGGCACCUCGAUGUCGGCUCAUCGCAUCCUGGGGCUGUAGCAGGUCCCAAGGGUUGGGCUGUUCGCCCAUUAAAGCGGUACGCGAGCUGGGUUCAGAACGUCGUGAGACAGUUCGGUCCCUAUCCGGCGUGGGCGGAGGAUAUUUGAGAGGAGCUGUCCUUAGUACGAGAGGACCGGGAUGGACGGACCACUGGUGUAUCUGUUGUCGACCAACGGCAUGGCAGAGUAGCCAAGUCUGGAAGGGAUAAACGCUGAAGGCAUCUAAGCGUGAAGCCCCCCUCAAGAUGAGAUAUCCCUGCAUAUGCAGUAAGACCCCUUGAAGACUACGAGGUAGAUAGGUCAGAGGUGGAAGUGCAGUAAUGCAUGUAGCUGACUGAUACUAAUAGGUCGAGGGCUUGACCAA
rnacentral:rRNA from 1 species